rnacentral:rRNA from 1 species
UACGUAGGGUGCAAGCGUUGUCCGGAAUUAUUGGGCGUAAAGAGCUCGUAGGCGGUUUGUUGCGUCGGCUGUGAAAUCCCGAGGCUCAACCUCGGGUCUGCAGUCGAUACGAGCAAACUAGAGGGUUGCAGGGGAGACUGGAAUUCCUGGUGUAGCGGUGAAAUGCGCAGAUAUCAGGAGGAACACCGGUGGCGAAGGCGGCUCACUGGACCGGAACUGACGCUGAGGCGCGAAAGCGUGGGGAGCAAACAGG